rnacentral:rRNA from 1 species
UACGUAGGUGGCAAGCGUUGUCCGGAAUUAUUGGGCGUAAAGCGCGCGCAGGCGGUUUCUUUAGUCUGAUGUGAAAGCCCACGGCUCAACCGUGGAGGGUCAUUGGAAACUGGGGAACUUGAGUGCAGAAGAGAAAAGCGGAAUUCCACGUGUAGCGGUGAAAUGCGUAGAGAUGUGGAGGAACACCAGUGGCGAAGGCGGCUUUUUGGUCUGUAACUGACGCUGAGGCGCGAAAGCGUGGGGAGCAAACAGG